rnacentral:rRNA from 1 species
UAAGGAAUAUUGGUCAAUGGACGCAAGUCUGAACCAGCCAUGCCGCGUGAAGGAUGAAGGUCCUCUGGAUUGUAAACUUCUUUUAUCUGGGACGAAAACGGGAUUUUUAUCUCAAUUGACGGUACCAGAGGAAUAAGCACCGGCUAACUCCGUGCCAGCAGCCGCGGUAAUACGGAGGGUGCGAGCGUUAUUCGGAUUUACUGGGUUUAAAGGGUGCGUAGGUGGGCUUAUAAGUCAGUGGUGAAAUCUCCGAGCUUAACUUGGAAACUGCCGUUGAUACUAUAGGUCUUGAAUUAUCUGGAGGUAAGCGGAAUAUGUCAUGUAGCGGUGAAAUGCUUAGAUAUGACAUAGAACACCAAUUGCGAAGGCAGCUUACUACAUAUAAAUUGACGCUGAGGCACGAAAGCGUGGGGAUCAAACA